AGUGAACGCUGGCGGUAGGCCUAACACAUGCAAGUCGAACGGCAGCACAGUAAGAGCUUGCUCUUACGGGUGGCGAGUGGCGGACGGGUGAGGAAUACAUCGGAAUCUACUCUUUCGUGGGGGAUAACGUAGGGAAACUUACGCUAAUACCGCAUACGACCUACGGGUGAAAGCAGGGGAUCUUCGGACCUUGCGCGAUUGAAUGAGCCGAUGUUGGAUUAGCUAGUUGGCGGGGUAAAUGCCCACCAAGGCGACGAUCCGUAGCUGGUCUGAGAGGGUGAACAGCCACACUGGAACUGAGAGGCGGUCCAGAGUCUGACGGGAGGCAGCAGUGGGGAAUAUUGGCAAAUGGGGGGAAGCCUGAACAAGCCAUGCCGCGCGGAUGAAGAAGGCCUUCGGGUGGUAAAGCCGUUUUGUUGGGAAAAAAAGGCAGCGGGUUAAUACCCCGCUGUGCUGACGGUACCCAAAGAAUAAGCACCGGCUAACAUCGU
rnacentral:rRNA from 1 species